GAGAGAGAGAGAGAGAGCACAAUUUAGCUCCAUAAAAGCAACUUUAAGUCCAAUAAUAUAAUUUUAACAGAUAUCACUCCCAUUUUAAGUGCAAUUACCAGAAAUUCCAAUAAAAAGGGAACCAAACAGUCACUUGCACAAAAUCUAAACCGUACUUUCUAUAUGCAUCUCUAUUAAUCACCCAAAACUUCUUUGAAAAUAGCAAUCAAACACUGAAAAUUAUCUCCCAAACAGGGAUUACAUUGCUCAAAAUCCAUCACUGUCUAAUUUUAAUAAACCCAAAUAUCCUUUCUUUAACCUAAAAACCUUAUCGAUUUAAAAAUUAUGAAAUGAUACUCUAAAAUUUCAAAACCCUAGCUAGAAUCAAAGAAACAAAUCCUCCCUUCCUUUGCUUGCCGCGCGAAAAAGGAGGAAUUGAAAGAAUUAGCAUAGAAUGAAAGUGUUUCCGCAAAACGACGACGGAGAAGGGAGAGUGUAAGAGAGAAGAAGAACAAGGAAGAGGAAAGGAGAGGAGAAAAAUUACGAGCAAAACGAC
rnacentral:misc_RNA from 1 species